rnacentral:rRNA from 1 species
ACGGCGUGCUUUAUGCAUCCAAGUCGAACGGUCUGGUUAAUUAAGCUUGCUUAGUUAACCAGAUAGUGGCGAACGGGUGAGUAACGCGUAAGCAACCUGCCCCUAAGUAGGGGAUAACUCUGAGAAAUCGGAGCUAAUACCUUAUGUGGUGAUGGAGGUAAGGCUCCAUCACUAAAGCCUUCGGGCGCUUGGGGAUGGGCUUGCGUCCUAUCAGCUAGUUGGUAGGGUAACGGCUUACCAAGGCGAUGACGGGUAGCUGGUCUGAGAGGAUGUCCAGCCACACGGGGACUG